rnacentral:sRNA from 1 species
UGAUAGCCACAGGGUCCAAUGUAUUAAU